rnacentral:rRNA from 1 species
AGUGAACGCUGGCGGUGGGCCUAACACACGCAAGUCGAACGGCAGCACAGUAAGAGCUUGCUCUUACGGGUGGCGAGUGGCGGACGGGUGAGGAAUACAUCGGAAUCUACUUUUUCGUGGGGGAUAACGUAGGGAAACUUACGCUAAUACCGCAUACGACCUACGGGUGAAAGCAGGGGAUCUUCGGACCUUGCGCGAUUGAAUGAGCCGAUGUCGGAUUAGCUAGUUGGCGGGGUAAAGGCCCACCAAGGCGACGAUCCGUAGCUGGUCUGAGAGGAUGAUCAGCCACACUGGAACUGAGACACGGUCCAGACUCCUACGGGAGGCAGCAGUGGGGAAUAUUGGACAAUGGGCGCAAGCCUGAUCCAGCCAUACCGCGUGGGUGAAGAAGGCCUUCGGGUUGUAAAGCCCUUUUGUUGGGAAAGAAAAGCAGCAGGUUAAUACCCCGCUGUUCUGACGGUACCCAAAGAAUAAGCACCGGCUAACUUCGUG